rnacentral:rRNA from 1 species
UACAGAGGGUGCGAGCGUUAAUCGGAAUUACUGGGCGUAAAGCGUGCGUAGACGGUUAUUUAAGUCGGAUGUGAAAGCCCCGGGCUCAACCUGGGAAUUGCAUUCGAGACUGAAUAGCUAGGGUACGGUAGAGGGAAGUGGAAUUUCCAGUGUAGCGGUGAAAUGCGUAGAUAUUGGAAGGAACAUCGGUGGCGAAGGCGACCUUCUGGACAACGACUGACACUGAGGCACGAAAGCGUGGGUAGCAAACAGG